AACUCUUAGCAAUGGAUCACUUGGCUUGUGCGUCAAUGAAGAACACAGCUAGCUGUGAAAAUUAAUGUGAAUUGCAGGAUACAUUGAUCAUCGACACUUUGAACGCGCUUGCGGCCCCUGGUGUUUUUUGUCAUUACAACCAUAUGUAUUUGAUAUACA
rnacentral:rRNA from 1 species